GACGAACGCUGGCGGCGGGCCUAACACAUGCAAGUCGAACGCGAUCCGUCGGUGCUUGCACCGACACAUGAUCGAGUGGCGAACGGGUGAGUAACACGUGAGGAACCUGCCCCGAAGCUCGGGACAACCACGGGAAACCGUGGCUAAUACCGAAUGACCUCCUUUGAUCGCAUGGUCAGUUGAGGAAAGUUCAGGCGCUUCGGGAGGGUCUCACGGCCUAUCAGCUAGUUGGUGAGGUAAUGGCUCGCCAAGGCAACGACGGGUAGCUGGUCUGAGAGGACGAUCAGCCACACUGGGACUGAGACACGGCCCAG
rnacentral:rRNA from 1 species